ensembl:lncRNA
CCCAGCGCGCGCCCAGGCGCCUGCGUCCCGAGUGCCCGCCAGCUCUUUGGCCACCUCGGCCGGCCCGGGAGCGCCGGGGGCAGCUCCGGGGGGCUUUGGAGUCGCGAGAGUGGCGGGGACCUCACCCCUACCCCGAAGCGCCGGACCGGUAGGGACGAUUACUGCAGCCGGGGCUGUGCACCCGCGGGAUCGGAGCCCGGGAAAAGGAAGCAAAAGCUUGGAACCUCCGCAGGCUGGACGAGGAUCCAUCUUUCACCUGAGCUGGGAAUAGACUUUGUAAAAGAUAUUAUGUAAUGGAGUCUCGGGCAGCUCGAGACGUCUCCAGCGAAGCUGCUGGUGAAUUAAUUAAGAGGUUCAGAUGGUUUUAGGUUUUAUCGCCCUGCUGUCUGUGCCGAGGUGCUGUAUCACGGAAGAGGGGGACUGGAAAGUGACAACUGAGCCCCUGACUGGAGGCAGACCGAAUACAAGUCUUGACGUGACGCUGAAGCCGUGGAUCUCACGCACCAUUAAUGUCAUCUGACAUUACCAUUUUGUUUCCCAAGCUCAUGGGCAAAAGUGGUAGAUUAUCAGUUCAUUGGUGGGAGCAGGACGUGUAAGAGUGUGUACAUUCAUGAAUGAAUGAGAAGGAGAAGAACUACAGACAAAAAGAUUUUGAAGAAUCUGAGGCGUAGACAACUGUGUAUAUGGAUAUCAGGUUUGGAGCCUGUCUUUUUCUGCCUUUAGAGCUUGUGACCUGGAUUUUUCCAGGGAGAUAAACUAACCAGCAACACCAGUCACAGAUAUGUGAAGAAGACUAUUCAAUUUUCCCCUGAGAAACAAUUCACUAAUCAGAAAUGUCCUCAAUGAUGAUGAGGUACUCUAAUGGAAAGGAUGUAGUUUGGGGAAUAAAACUGACCUGGAAUCAAAUUCUGACUGUGUUCAUCAUUGUUUGUCCACCAUAGAUUUUCGUCUGCCGUGACCACCCUCUUCCCAUGAUGCUUCUGCUUUGAAGCCAGCUGACCAUGGACUGAAACCUCUGAAACUGUGAGCCAAAAUAAACUUCUCCCCCUUUAAGUUGUGAGUACCUCAUAUAAAUAAAAUUUUGGAAAAGAUGUUCACCAGUAAAUAAAGAGUUGGGUAUUAGGAUUUCAU